CCCUGUAUUCAAAAGUGAUGGUGGGUUGCCUGUGCCCUGGUCCUUCAGAGGAUGAUGAAAGCCUUUCCCCGUGUUUAGAAGGUCCACUCUCAUCCUUGCCAGACCCUGGUGCUUUCGUUCU
rnacentral:snoRNA from 1 species